AUGAACGCUGGCGGCGUGCCUAAUACAUGCAAGUAGAACGCUGAAGGAGGAGCUUGCUCUUCUGGAUGAGUUGCGAACGGGUGAGUAACGCGUAGGUAACCUGCCUGGUAGCGGGGGAUAACUAUUGGAAACGAUAGCUAAUACCGCAUGACAACAGUUAUUGCAUGAUAACUGUUUAAAAGGGGCAACUGCUCCACUACCAGAUGGACCUGCGUUGUAUUAGCUAGUUGGUGAGGUAACGGCUCACCAAGGCGACGAUACAUAGCCGACCUGAGAGGGUGAUCGGCCACACUGGGACUGAGACACGGCCCAGACUCCUACGGGAGGCAGCAGUAGGGAAUCUUCGGCAAUGGACGGAAGUCUGACCGAGCAACGCCGCGGGAGUGAAGAAGGUUGUCGGAUCGUAAAGCUCUGUUGUAAGAGAAGAACGAGUGUGAGAGUGGAAAGUUCACACUGUGACGGUAGCUUACCAGAAAGGGACGGCUAACUACGUG
rnacentral:rRNA from 1 species